AUUUUACUUUUCCUGUGCGUGCAGGCUUAUUCUCUUUUCUCUCAUUCUCUCUCCCUCUCUCCUCGAUUUCGUGACGGAUUUUCGCCCGAUCAAAAAUCCGAAAAUACCACUAGACUCCAUUCGCUGCUGCCGUCAUUUCUACCGGAGCGGAUCGGUGGUAGGAGCGGCGUAAGCGUAUUCCCUGAGGAGUUGAAUUUCAGACGCCAAGGGCGUAGAAUUUGGGAUUCUAGGGAGACUCUCAGUAAGUCAGCCAUCUCUCUGCGAACAAUUUUACGGGAACAAUACCAGAUACAUUUAGAAACCUGAAGAACCUGACGGAUUUUAGGGUUGAUGGGAAUCAAUUGUCUGGGAAAAUACCAGAUUUGAUUGGGAGUUGGACAAAAUUAGAAAGACUAGAUAUUCAAGGCACAUCCAUGGAGGGCCCCAUUCCUUCUACCAUAUCUUCUCUAACAAAUUUAACCCAAUUGAUGAUAUCUGAUUUGAAAGGAUCGAGUUCUAGAUUCCCUGAUUUGCGGGCUAUGAAAAACAUUCAAUAUCUGACACUCAGAAAUUGCUUAAUCAUCAAUUCAAUCCCAGGAUACAUUGGACAAUUGACAACUCUAAAACGUUUGUAAGUUGAUGUAGAUCAAUUUUUUUGAUAGAUAAAAUGAGAUGUCGCUGCAUUUCACCAAAGGGGUUCCAAUCCAAUGACAAAAACAAGGAAGAAGAAACAGGCACCUAGUAUGACAAGUGAAAAGAAUCGAUGAGAUCAAUGAUAGUUUGACUGUUCACAAUAAUGCUGCUUAUUGACCCAAAGUACGGCAUUUAAAUCCAAUUUUCCUUUACUCCGGUGACUGACAGUUCUGUGGCCUCAAAAUCCCUUUGUUAGGAGAGAAUGCUUUAUUUUAGCAGUCAGGUGGUGUGAGAUGGGCGUUUUUGUCCUCCAUGUGCUAUUGUUGUUAAUAUAUAAAGAGGGCAGACUUGGAGCUGUACAUGGGCUCCAGGGGACUGCUGACUGAUCUUCUCCUUCUAAUCUCUUCUUCUCUUCACUCCUCCUAAUCCUAUGCACUUUAUUUCUCUUAAUUUGAAACUUCAAUUAAUUGCA